rnacentral:rRNA from 1 species
UUGAUCCUGGCUCCCGAUGAAUACUGAUAGAAUGCUUAACACAUGCGAGUCAACUUGAACUUCGGUUUGGGUGGCGGACGGGUGAGUAACGCGUAAAGAACUUGCCUCACAGAUAGGGACAACAUUUGGAAACGAGUGCUAAUACCUGAUAUUAUGAUUUUAGGGCAUCCUAGGAUUAUGAAAGCUAUAUGCGCUGUGAGAGAGCUUUGCGUCCCAUUAGGUAGUUGGAGAGGUAACGGCUCACCAAGGCGAUGAUGGGUAGCCGGCCUGAGAGGGUGAUCGGCCACAAGGGGACUGAGACACGGCCCUUACUCCUACGGGAGGCAGCAGUGGGGAAUAUUGGACAAUGGACCAAGAGUCUGAUCCAGCAAUUCUGUGUGCACGAUGAAGUUUUUCGGAAUGUAAAGUGCUUUCAGUUGGGAAGAAAAAAAUGACGGUACCAACAGAAGAAGUGACGGCUAAAUACGUGCCAGCAGCCGCGGUAAUACGUAUGUCACAAGCGUUAUCCGGAUUUAUUGGGCGUAAAGCGCGUCUAGGUGGUUAUAUAAGUCUGAUGUGAAAAUGCAGGGCUCAACUCUGUAUUGCGUUGGAAACUGUGUAACUAGAGUACUGGAGAGGUAGGCGGAACUACAAGUGUAGAGGUGAAAUUCGUAGAUAUUUGUAGGAAUGCCGAUGGGGAAGCCAGCUUACUGGACAGAUACUGACGCUGAAGCGCGAAAGCGUGGGUAGCAAACAGGAUUA